rnacentral:misc_RNA from 1 species
GUUCUACUCCGACUCAAAACCAUGGAAAAGUUUGUCGCCUUCGUUUGCUUGCUGGGAUUUGCUCUAUCGGUGGUGUCAGUAAAUUCUCUUUUUUCAAUAACCAGUAAAGAUGUACCUUUGACCAUAUAUGAUCAUUUCGUUAAAAAAAAACCGCAGAUUUUUUUUUUACCCCCACAACAAGUGCUUGUUGUGAUGUUUCAUUCGUGUUCAGGUGGAAAACGGUCUGUUUAAAUAUUGAAUCAGUUUCUUUUUGUUUUUUGUUUUUACAUAUUCAUGGUUAAAAACCUUUAAAACUUGUGCUUUUGGAGGCAAUGACCUGGACCUGGGGCCAUAAAAGUUAGAUGAGUUCACUUUUGAUCUCAGUCUCACUUUUACGAAAGGAAUAUAUAGUGGAAAAGUGAGACUGGGAUCAAAAGUGAGCUCAUCUAAGUUUUAUGGCCCUGGGGCCAGUUUUUCAAAUCACUACUUUAUUAUGUGAAAACCGUGCCUUACAUUAAAUGAUGCCGAUGACCACUGAUUUGCAGGGUGGACUUCCGUCCAUACGACCACUCAGCCGAACUCCUCUUUAAUGGAUCCGACUUCAAUCAUGAUGGCAUCUUUUCCCGCGAUGAAUUAGAACAGGAAUUCAAAAAAUACGACGCUGACGGUGAGUGGGCUGUGCCUUUUGUUUUGGUACUUUAUUUUCUUACUUAAUCACAGGUAAUUUGGACUAAAACAGAUCAUACCGAACAUGCUUGAACUUAUUUUGGUUGUCAUGACUGGGAGGCGGAUUUUGGUAUAUAUCGUACAUAUAUGUACUUUUAUUUCAUUGAUAACAACAGGUGAUGGCCGUGUUUCCCGCCACGAGUACACCACCUACGUGACUACAACAACCCCCGAACUCCACGACUUUGCGCAUGCUCUGUACGAUGAUUAUGAUGUAACUGGCGACCACCAUCUUGAUCAUGUAGAUUACGACCAAUAUUACGCCAAGCUUGACGCAGAUGGUAGGUUUAUUACGCGUCAUAUGUUCUUUAAGUUUAGAACGACCGUUUAUCAUAAAACUGUAAGCUUUGUGAAAAAUGGUUGUCUUUUACAAGGUUUAGGAAAGAGUAUUUUAGAGGGAAUUGAUUUUCCUGUUCCGAUAUCAGUUUGAUUAAAUCGAACGCAAAAAAAAACACCAACUAUAACACAAUGUUCAUAAAAAGGGCCAUUUUUAUUCACGAACUGUUUCUUCAAAUGAAUUAUUUCUUGUAGUUGAUGGUUCAGUGACAAGAGCUGAAUUCGUGGAUUACUGGGUUAAAGUAAGUUUAUUCGAACACGCAUUGUAUCCAAUUUCAUCCAUCGAAUCGUAUCAGAUAUUCAAUCUGUAAUCAUUAUUCAUGAAUCAAAAUGAUUUCACCAUUCAUGAUCUUUUUCAAAAAAAUUUCCACAGUUGUUCCAAGCCACAGAACACCUUCACGGCCACGGACACCACGGAUAAAAAAUGAACUAAUUCAAUUGAAAUAAAUCAUUCUUUAUAACUU